rnacentral:rRNA from 1 species
AUCGUCGUUAAAGGGCCCACCAAAGGCGACGAUCAGUAGCUGGUUUGAGAGGGACGAUCAGCCACCACUGGGAACUGAGACACGGCCCAGACUCCUACCGGGAAGCAGCAGUGGGGAAUUUUGGACAAUGGGCGAAAGCCUGAUCCAGCAAUGCCGCGUGUGUGAAGAAGGCCUUCGGGUUGUAAAGCACUUUUGUCCGGAAAGAAAUGGCUCUGGUUAAUACCUGGGGUCGAUGACGGUACCGGAAGAAUAAGGACCGGCUAACUACGUGCCAGCAGCCGCGGUAAUACGUAGGGUCCAAGCGUUAAUCGGAAUUACUGGGCGUAAAGCGUGCGCAGGCGGUUGUGCAAGACCGAUGUGAAAUCCCCGAGCUUAACUUGGGAAUUGCAUUGGUGACUGCACGGCUAGAGUGUGUCAGAGGGGGGUAGAAUUCCACGUGUAGCAGUGAAAUGCGUAGAGAUGUGGAGGAAUACCGAUGGCGAAGGCAGCCCCCUGGGAUAACACUGACGCUCAUGCACGAAAGCGUGGGGAGCAAACAGGAUUAGAUACCCUGGUAGUCCACGCCCUAAACGAUGUCAACUAGUUGUUGGGGAUUCAUUUCCUUAGUAACGUAGCUAACGCGUGAAGUUGACCGCCUGGGGAGUACGGUCGCAAGAUUAAAACUCAAAGGAAUUGACGGGGACCCGCACAAGCGGUGGAUGAUGUGGAUUAAUUCGAUGCAACGCGAAAAACCUUACCUACCCUUGACAUGCCACUAACGAAGCAGAGAUGCAUUAGGUGCUCGAAAGAGAGAGUGGACACAGGUGCUGCAUGGCUGUCGUCAGCUCGUGUCGUGAGAUGUUGGGUUAAGUCCCGCAACGAGCGCAACCCUUGUCUCUAGUUGCUACGAAAGGGCACUCUAGAGAGACUGCCGGUGACAAACCGGAGGAAGGUGGGGAUGACGUCAAGUCCUCAUGGCCCUUAUGGGUAGGGCUUCACACGUCAUACAAUGGUGCAUACAGAGGGUUGCCAAGCCGCGAGGUGGAGCUAAUCCCAGAAAAUGCAUCGUAGUCCGGAUCGUAGUCUGCAACUCGACUACGUGAAGCUGGAAUCGCUAGUAAUCGCGGAUCAGCAUGCCGACGUUUGCUC